UCACCCCUCAAGCCCCUGUGCUUGGUGUUGGACGGCCUGGUCGAGCGACUAUCGCCCCCGACCCCUCCUAAAGACAAUGACGGCGGUCUGCGGAGCCCCCGGUACACUGAGCUCCUUUUCAGGGCACGUACCGGACGAGGGCGCCUGGAUGGCAGUCUUCAACCCCCAAUUUUAUUAAU
rnacentral:misc_RNA from 1 species